rnacentral:rRNA from 1 species
UGGGAAUUUGACAAUGGGGCAACCCUGAUCCAGCAAUGCCGCGUGUGUGAAGAAGGCCUUCGGGUUGUAAAGCACUUUUGUCCGGAAAGAAAACGUCGUGGUUAAUACCCGUGGCGGCUGACGGUACCGGAAGAAUAAGCACCGGCUAACUACGUGCCAGCAGCCGCGGUAAUACGUAGGGUGCAAGCGUUAAUCGGAAUUACUGGGCGUAAAGCGUGCGCAGGCGGUCCGCUAAGACAGAUGUGAAAUCCCCGGGCUUAACCUGGGAACUGCAUUUGUGACUGGCGGGCUAGAGUAUGGCAGAGGGGGGUAGAAUUCCACGUGUAGCAGUGAAAUGCGUAGAGAUGUGGAGGAAUACCGAUGGCGAAGGCAGCCCCCUGGGCCAAUACUGACGCUCAUGCACGAAAGCGUGGGGAGCAAACAGGAUUAGAUACCCUGGUAUCCACGCCCUAAACGAUGU